AUUAAAGGAACAAUUAGAAAAAGGGGGAGAUUCAAGCUAGAAACCCAGGACAGAGACACAUAAAUUUAUCUGUUUAAAUCUUUAU